AUUGAACGCUGGCGGCAUGCUUUACACAUGCAAGUCGAACGGCAGCGCGGGCUUCGGCCUGGCGGCGAGUGGCGAACGGGUGAGUAAUGCAUCGGAACGUGCCCAGUAGUGGGGGAUAGCCCGGCGAAAGCCGGAUUAAUACCGCAUACGACCUGAGGGUGAAAGCGGGGGAGCGAAAGGCCUGGCGCUGGUGGAGCGGCCGAUGUCGGAUUAGCUAGUUGGUGGGGUAAAGGCUUACCAAGGCGACGAUCCGUAGCUGGUCUGAGAGGGUGAGCACACACAGUGGGGCUGCGAUACGGCCAAGACGCCAACGGGAGGCAGGAGUGGAGAAGAUGGCACUGUGGGCGGAAGUCUGAUGCAGCAACGCCGCGUGCGGGAAGACGGCGGGGGGGUUGUAAACCGCUUUAGCCUGUGACGAAGCGGGAGUGACGGUACUGGGUAAAGAAGCACCGGCUAACUACGUG
rnacentral:rRNA from 1 species